rnacentral:rRNA from 1 species
AGAGUUUGAUCAUGGCUCAGAUUGUACGCUGGCGGCAGGCUUAACACAUGCAAGUCGAGCGGGGUGAUGUAGCUUGCUACAUUACCUAGCGGCGGACGGGUGAGUAAUGCUUAGGAAUCUGCCUAUUAGUGGGGGACAACAUUCCGAAAGGAAUGCUAAUACCGCAUACGCCCUACGGGGGAAAGCAGGGGAUCUUCGGACCUUGCGCUAAUAGAUGAGCCUAAGUCAGAUUAGCUAGUUGGUGGGGUAAAGGCCUACCAAGGCGACGAUCUGUAGCGGGUCUGAGAGGAUGAUCCGCCACACUGGGACUGAGACACGGCCCAGACUCCUACGGGAGGCAGCAGUGGGGAAUAUUGGACAAUGGGCGAAAGCCUGAUCCAGCCAUGCCGCGUGUGUGAAGAAGGCCUUUUGGUUGUAAAGCACUUUAAGCGAGGAGGAGGCUACUUGGAUUAAUACUCUAGGAUAGUGGACGUUACUCGCAGAAUAAGCACCGGCUAACUCUGUGCCAGCAGCCGCGGUAAUACAGAGGGUGCGAGCGUUAAUCGGAUUUACUGGGCGUAAAGCGUGCGUAGGCGGCUUUUUAAGUCGGAUGUGAAAUCCCUGAGCUUAACUUAGGAAUUGCAUUCGAUACUGGGAAGCUAGAGUAUGGGAGAGGAUGGUAGAAUUCCAGGUGUAGCGGUGAAAUGCGUAGAGAUCUGGAGGAAUACCGAUGGCG